rnacentral:lncRNA from 1 species
AAAUUCAAGUGUAUGGAAGCGGCAAAUGUUAUAGACUUAGUCUCCAAAAGCAGAUACAGUUAUUACAGAAAUAGGUACAAGUAUGGGGAUAAAAAAAAUAAUGUUUGGAUGAAAAUUGGGUUGUUUCCGGAGAUAAGAACAAUUUUAGAUAGUUUUAUAUAAAAAAUGAAGGUGUUGCUGGGGAUAACCGAGAACUACUAUUCUCGAAUAAAAAAUUAGCGUUUGAGUAUAAAGGGGGAUAAGGGUCUAUUCCUAUCCCUAUCCCCUAAUCAAACACUGCUACGCG